rnacentral:lncRNA from 1 species
GGCGUUUACACACACCAGUCAAAAACCGUACCCCAGGCGUUUUGUGAUCCGAACAUUUCGCUGGAGUGUGGAUGCUCCCGAUGUUACUGUAGGUCGAAUGGCCCUUGGGACAGACUAACAGAAGCACUGAUGGAGGACCAUCUGGAGAGAAGCCGGGGCGUGAAGGCUCCGUGCCGUGCCAUGUGAAACGGCACGAAGCCCUCAGACCAGACUCCGUGACGCCGUCUUUUCCAUUACAGUGACUUCUACUACAGUGGCAGCUGCGUUUCCCUUAAACAGGCUGUACUGCCGGCAACCCACUCAGACCAGACGGUUUUCGAAGUCAUGAAUGAUGCUGGAUUCAUAAACCUGUAUGGAGUAAAAUGGGGAAUACAGCAUGAACUGUGUUCACUCUUACGCAGGAAAUAUGUGAUAUUUGUAACGACGCCACCUUCUCAGCGAAAGCGUCCGUAGCGACCACCAGGCACGACGACCGUACGCGAUUUUUCAGCGGGCUGUUGCUCUAUAGGCCCUGUGGGUUCAGAUGGGACAGAGAUCGUUUAGACGACAUACAUAUUCUCUACUGCCAAUUAUUUUGUCCAAGAUGGGGAUUACAGGAAAAGCUCCUUCCGUCCCUUGUCUUUCUGGAUUGGCUACGGCACGACAACGGUACCGCCCUUGGACGAACCAACAUUUCAAUCUGGUAAAGUGCACGGAACUGUGUGUGCGUGUGAGAAGGGUUGUUUCACCGGUCCAGCAAUCUGCAGAACGGCAAUUGUUGCGUUCUACGCCUGCGAUCUAACAGCAGAAUGGGUCUGGCAAACCUCUGCACUGCAC